CGCUUGAGAAGAAUGUGUAUUCAGUUGAGUUUGGAUGUAAAGUUCUGUAGAUAUCUGUGAAAUCCAUCUGGUCCAGUGUAUCAUUUAAAGCUCUCGUUUCUUUGGAGAUGUUGUUCUUAGAAGACCUAUCGAGUAUAAAAAGAGCUAGAUUGAAGUCACCAAGUAUAAGUGUAUUAUUAUCUAAGUAUUUCUUCACUUUGGUUAAUAAUUGAUUUAUAUAUUUGGCAGCUCCCACAUUCGGAGCAUAUAUAUUGAGGAUUGUUAAGUCCUCUUGUUGAAUAGAUCCUUUAAGUAUGAUAUAGUGUCCCUCUUCAUCUCUCACUACAGUCUUUGGGGUAAAUUUUAGUUUAUCUGAUAUAAGGAUGGCUACCCCUGCUUUCUUUUGAGGACCAUUCGAAUGGUAAAUGGUUCUCCAACCUUUUAUUUUCAGGCUGUAGGUGUCCUUCUGUCUAAAAUGAGUCUCUUGUAGACAGCAAAUAGAUGGGUCCUGCUUUUUUAUCCAGUCUGAAACCCUGUGCCUUUUGAUGGGGUCAUUAAGCCCGUUCACAUUCAGAGUUACUAUUGAGAGAUAUGAGUUUAGUGUCAUCAUGAUAUCUAUUCAGUCCUUGUUUUUGUGGACUGUUCCACUGAACUUCUUCUUAAAGGGGAAUUUUAAGAGUCCCCCUUAAAAUUUCUUGCAGAGCUGGUUUGGAGGUCACAUAUUCUUUUAGUUGCUGCCUGUCUUGGAAGCUCUUUAUCUCUCCUUCCAUUUUGAAUGAGAGCCUUGCUGGAUAAAGUAUUCUUGGUUGCAUGUUCUUCUCAUUUAGGACCCUGAAUAUAUCCUGCCAGCCCUUUCUGGCCUGCCAGGUCUCUGUGGAGAGGUCUGCUGUUACCCUAAUACUCCUCCCCAUAAAAGUCAGGGAUUUCUUGUCUCUUGCUGCUUUAAGGAUCUUCUCUUUAUCUUUGGAAUUUGCAAGCUUCACUAUUAAAUGUCGAGGUGUUGAACGGUUUUUAUUGAUUUUAGGGGGGGGGGAUCUCUCUAUUUCCUGGAUCUGAAUGCCUGUUUCCCUUCCCAGGUUAGGAAAGUUUUCAGCUAGAAUUUGUUCAAAUACAUAUUCUGGCCCUCUGGCCCUUUCGGCGCCCUCGGGAACCCCAAUUAAACGUAGGUUUUUCUUCCUCAGGCUGUCGUUUAUUUCCCUUAAUCUAUCUUCAUGGUCUUUUAAUUGUUUGUUUCUUUUUUCCUCAGUUUCCCUCUUUGCUAUCAACUUGUCUUCUAUGUCACUCACUCGUUCUUCCACCUCGUUAACCCUCGUCGUUAGGACUUCUAGUUUGGAUUGCAUCUCAUUCAAUUGAUUUUUAAUUUCUGCCUGAUUAGCUCUAAAUUGUGCAGUCAUGAAGCCUCUUGAGUCCUUUAUACUUUUUUCUAGAGCCACCAGUAGCUGUAUAAUAGUGCUUCUGAAUUGGCUUUCUGACAUUGAAUUGUAAUCCAGAUUUUGUAACUCUGUGGGAGAGAGGACUGUUUCUUAUUCUUUCUUUUGAGGUGAGGUUUUCCUUCUCGUCAUUUUGCUCAGUGCAGAGUGGCCAAAAGCAAGUUGUAUUGGGAAAAGGAGAAAAAGAGAGGAGAGAAAGAAGGAAAGAAAAGAGAAAGAGAAAAAAAAAGGGAAGAAAAAAUAAACGAAAAGAAAAAAAAAGAAAAAGAGAAAGAAAAAGAAAGAAAAAAAAAGGGGGUGGGGGAAGGAAACCAAUCAAAAAGCAAAACAAAA
rnacentral:lncRNA from 1 species